rnacentral:rRNA from 1 species
AAAAGUCGUAACAAGGUUUCCGUAGGUGAACCUGCGGAAGGAUCAUUAUCGUACAACUGAGGUGCAAGGGCUGUCGCUGACCUUCAAGGGUUGUGCACGCCCAAGCCCUCUCACACAUCCAUCUCACCCCCUUUGUGCAUCACCGCGUGGGCCCCCCUUUGCAGGAGGGCUUGCGUUUUCACAUAAAACUUGAUACAGUGUAGAAUGUUUUUUCUUCUUUUGCGGUCACACGCAAUCAAUACAACUUUCAACAACGGAUCUCUUGGCUCUCGCAUCGAUGAAGAACGCAGCGAAAUGCGAUACGUAAUGUGAAUUGCAGAAUUCAGUGAAUCAUCGAAUCUUUGAACGCACCUUGCGCCCCUUGGCAUUCCGAGGGGCACACCCGUUUGAGUGUCGUGAAUUCAUCAAAACCUUUUCUUUGAUCCUUUUCGGUCAGGAAAAGGAUUUUUGGACUUGGAGGUUCUAUGCUUGCUUUCGCUUAUGAAAGUGAGCUCCUCUCAAAUGAAUUAGUGGGGUCUGCUUUGCUGAUCCUUGAUGUGAUAAGAUGUUUCUACAUUUUGGAUUUAGCACUGUCCCUUGGACACCUGCUCCUAACUGUCCCUUGGACAAUGAUGGUGCUUCGGUUGCCGCCAUCUACAUUGGCGGGGGCCGGACCCACCAAAAAAAAAAACCUUGACCUCAAAUCGGUGAGACUACCCGCUGAACUUAAGCAUAUCAAUAAGCGGAGGA